rnacentral:misc_RNA from 1 species
CAACCCUCAAGCCUUGCUUGGUGAUGGGCCCCGCCUGCGCGGCGGGCCCGAAACUCGUGGGCGCCCCAGGCCGGACUCCGAGCGUAGCAAAACCCUCGCUUGCGGACGACCGGUCGGAGGCCGCCCCGGACCCCAAAUUUUAUCAAU